rnacentral:rRNA from 1 species
GACGAACGCUGGCGGCGUGCUUAACACAUGCAAGUCGAACGGAAAGGCUCCAGCUUGCUGGAGUACUCGAGUGGCGAACGGGUGAGUAACACGUGGGUAAUCUGCCCUGCACUCUGGGAUAAGCCUGGGAAACUGGGUCUAAUCCUGGAUAGGACCUUCUUCUUAAUGGGGUUGGUUGGAAGGUUUUUCGGGUUAGGAUGGGCCCGCGGCCUAUCAGCUUGUUGGUGGGGUGAUGGCCUACCAAGGCGACGACGGGUAGCCGGCCUGAGAGGGUGAUCGGCCACAUUGGGACUGAGAUACGGCCCAGACUCCUACGGGAGGCAGCAGUGGGGAAUAUUGCACAAUGGGCGGAAGCCUGAUGCAGCGACGCCGCGUGAGGGAUGACGGCCUUCGGGUUGUAAACCUCUUUCAGCAGGGACGAAGCGUAAGUGACGGUACCUGCAGAAGAAGCACCGGCUAACUAUGUG